rnacentral:lncRNA from 1 species
AAAAGAAAGUUUAACAACUAGAGAUACUGGGUCAACAACCUGGUGAAAAUGAAGGAAGAGUUGCUAAGUAUUCUAUUUGUGUGACAAGAGUUUCCUAGUCACACACUCUCAGUUUGUUCUCCACCCUCUGCCCUGGCUGGUUUGGGUUGUGGUGUUGAGAAAUCUCAGAUGGCAUAUCUAAGACUCAGGAUAUUGAGGCUGGGGGAAGAUUUGCCUCCAUAUCUUUAAGUAUCUAUCUUCCUAGGAUGCCAAAAAAUUCAGCCAACAGGUAAUGUCCUUUAAUCCUCUCUUAGAGACAGAUUUGUUUUCCCUACAACAGAAGGUAGGGUGACCAGACCUGAGACAGUAAUAAAGGGAAAGGCUUUGAGUCCAAAUUUCUGAUCAGGCAGUAUGCACUAAAUCUUCUUUCCACAUAAUAAAAGGUCUAUGCAAGUAGCAUUGAAUUAGGAGAGUUAAGAUUUUUUUUUCUCUUUGUAUUACAGUGCUAUCAUGAGAGGGGAAAGGAAGCCAUUUGCAAAAUUAGGACUGAAAUACCACUGUCCUCUGCCUUCUGCAGGAUUCCUGAGCUGAAUAGAAGGUGACAACACUGACGGAACCUCUCCAAGUCAUAAAAAGGCUUCCUGCUUGGCUCUCCUUCUUCUACAUAGACAGUGCAUUCUCAGGACUUGGUUCCCUGUAGUUCAGUGACCCCGCAGAACAUUUCCUUCUUGCUGGCUUCCUGAGCCCCUGCCCCUGACCUGGAAGCUCCAGUACAGCCCCAGGGGGACCUUCUCUCCAUUUUCUUCUGGACCCUGAAUAUUCAACUCUGACUGCCUCCAGAGGGUCUGAACUCACUUUGUGCCACAUUAUUUUAUUCCAUUUUCUUCAAAUAAACAUGGAGUGAAAAAUCAUCUGCUUCAGAGUUUUAAGGAAAAGAAAGAAAAGAGAAAUGAAGGACUGCAUCACAAUAUAACAAUUCCUUUCAUUUUCAUAUAAGUGCAUGAGAUAUUCCACUUGUUAAAUAGGUGGAGUUAUCGUUUCCCUGCAUACAGAUGUAUCAAACAGAUGACUGCACCAUGGGGCAAAUGAUUUUUACUUGUCAAUUUAAAAAUUGGUCCAGAAUUUUAAAAGACAAUGCCAAAAAGCACAGAGUAUAACAAAUAAAGCAAACUUGAUGAAAAGUACUUAAUAGAAAACAAGCUAGAAAAAUAAAUCAAAACUUUUUGGGGGUGACAGUGCUUGCCUAAAACAUUGUGUAACUUGCAAAUCAAUCUAUGGAUCAAAAUUCACAGACUCUACUAAUAUACUAUUAUGAAGCAGUUUCUGGGAAA